GACAACUUGUCCGAGUGGUUAAGGAGACAGACUAGAAAUCUGUUGGGCUUUGCCCGCGCAGGUUCGAAUCCUGCAGUUGUCG
rfam:Blastocystis hominis, Singapore isolate B (sub-type 7) whole genome shotgun sequence assembly, scaffold_21